GCGGAUGUGGCGGAAUUGGCAGACGCGCUAGACUUAGGAUCUAGUGGGAUUCCCUUGCAGGUUCAAGUCCUGUCAUCCGCA
rnacentral:tRNA from 1 species